GAAAUGCGAUAAGUAAUGUGAAUUGCAGAAUUCAGUGAAUCAUCGAAUCUUUGAACGCACCUUGCGCUCCUUGGUAUUCCGAGGAGCAUGCCUGUUUGAGUGUCAUUAAAUUCUCAACCUUAUCAGUUUAUUUCUGAUAGUGGCUUGGAUGUGGGGGUUUUCUUGCUGGCUGAGGUCAGCUCCCCUUAAAUGCAUUAGCUGGUGCCCCAUGUGGACUUGUCUAUUGGUGUGAUAAUUAUCUACGCCAUGGAUGUCUGCAAUCAAGCACCGCUUCUAACCGUCUGUUAAUUCGGACAAUACAUGACAAUUUGACCUCAAAUCAGGUAGGACUACCCGCUGAACUUAA
rnacentral:misc_RNA from 1 species